AGAGUUUGAUCCUGGCUCAGAACGAACGCUGGCGGCAGGCUUAACACAUGCAAGUCGAACGCCCCGCAAGGGGAGUGGCAGACGGGUGAGUAACACGUGGGAACGUACCCUUUGGUUCGGAAUAAGCCGGGGAAACUUGGUCUAAUGCCGAAUGUGUCCGAGAGGAGAAAGAUUUAUCGCCAAAGGAUCGGCCCGCGUCG
rnacentral:rRNA from 1 species